AGUGAACGCUGGCGGUAGGCCUAACACAUGCAAGUCGAACGGCAGCACAGAGGAGCUUGCUCCUUGGGUGGCGAGUGGCGGACGGGUGAGGAAUACAUCGGAAUCUACUCUGUCGUGGGGGAUAACGUAGGGAAACUUACGCUAAUACCGCAUACGACCUACGGGUGAAAGCAGGGGACCUUCGGGCCUUGCGCGAUUGAAUGAGCCGAUGUCGGAUUAGCUAGUUGGCGGGGUAAAGGCACACCAAGGCGACGAUCCGUAGCUGGUCUGAGAGGAUGAUCAGCCACACUGGAACUGAGACACGGUCCAGACGCCUACGGGAGGCAGCAGUGGGGAAUAUUGGACAAUGGGCGCAAGCCUGAUCCAGCCAUACCGCGUGGGUGAAGAAGGCCUUCGGGUUGUAAAGCCCUUUUGUUGGGAAAGAGAUCCAGCUGGCUAAUACCCGGUUGGGAUGACGGUACCUAAAGAAUAAGCACCGGCUAACUUCGUGCCAGCAGCCGCCUAA
rnacentral:rRNA from 1 species